UGCAUUCACUACUGUAAGUUGCUCUGGAUAAGAGUGUCUGCUAAAUGACAUAAA
rfam:Salmo salar isolate Sally breed double haploid chromosome ssa15, whole genome shotgun sequence.